rnacentral:rRNA from 1 species
GAUGAACGCUGGCGGCGUGCCUAAUACAUGCAAGUCGAGCGAACGGACGAGAAGCUUGCUUUUCUGAUGUUAGCGGCGGACGGGUGAGUAACACGUGGAUAACCUACCUAUAAGACUGGGAUAACUUCGGGAAACCGGAGCUAAUAUCGGAUAAUAUUUUGAACCGCAUGGUUCAAAAGUGAAAGACGGUCUUGCUGUCACUUAUAGAUGGAUCCGCGCUGCAUUAGCUAGUUGGUAAGGUAACGGCUUACCAAGGCAACGAUGCAUAGCCGACCUGAGAGGGGGAUCGGCCACACUGGAACUGAGACACGGUCCAGACUCCUACGGGAGGCAGCAGUAGGGAAUCUUCCGCAAUGGGCGAAAGCCUGACGGAGCAACGCCGCGUGAGUGAUGAAGGUCUUCGGAUCGUAAAACUCUGUUAUUAGGGAAGAACAUAUGUGUAAGUAACUGUGCACAUCUUGACGGUACCUAAUCAGAAAGCCACGGCUAACUACGUG